AGGAAAAUAUCCCCAUCCUCAAAACGCUGCGUUUCGCCAUGGACCAAAUUGAAAUAAACAAUGAAAUAUGUGGUAAAAUUUAAGAAACAUAAAGGAUCUAUUUAAACUCGUAUCAAAAUCUGGGGGACAAUUGCGCAAAUAAGUCAUUGAGACAAAACGCGCGAAUCCUCCCCUCGGGUCGGGUCACCGCGCGGAUCUCGGCCUUAAACGACGCCGUUUUGAAAUCACUGAAACUGCAUCAAACGACGUCGUUUCUUACACUGUCUAUAGGCCCCAAAAAACCUAAAAAAUUAGCAGCCAUUUCAAUUAUCAAUCUAACCUAAAAAAAAACCUAAAUCUACCCUCUCUGUGCGCCGUUUUCAGAUUUGGCCCCCUUAUCCAUCUACCCCCGAUUCAAUCGGAGCGGAUAGAGGCUUCAAUGGCGGACUUAAUGAAGGCGCACGCGCGCGGAGUCUCGGCACGCGCGGAGGGGAAGCAGCGGCUGAAGGUUUUGCUAUGGUUUCUGAUUCUAUUUUUUGUUUAUGUUAUGGGCUAGGGUGUAUUGGGCUAGUUGGGUAAAUAGGCUUCUAAUUUUGCUGUAAUCUGGACAUGGACUUUAAUUAUGUAAAUGGACUUUGAAUUUUUAUUGAAUUUGGUUUUAUUUAUUAA